rnacentral:rRNA from 1 species
CCUACGGGAGGCAGCAGUAGGGAAUCUUCCACAAUGGUCGAAAGCCUGAUGGAGCAACGCCGCGUGGGUGAAGAAGGUCUUCGGAUCGUAAAACCCUUUUGUUAGAGAAGAAAAUGCGUGAGAGUAACUGUGCACGUAUCGACGGUAUCUGACCAGAAAGCCACGGCUAACUACGUGCCAGCAGCCGCGGUAAUACGUAGGUGGCAAGCGUUAUCCGGAUUGAUUGGGCGUAAAGGGCACGCAGGCGGUGUUUUAAGUCAGAUGUGAAAGACUUCGGCUUAACCGGAGUAGUGCAUUGGAUACUGGGAGACUUGAGUACAAAAGAGGAUAGUGGAAUUCCAUGUGUAGCGGUGAAAUGCGUAGAUAUAUGGAGGAACACCAGUGGCGAAAGCGGCUAUCUGGUCUGUAACUGACGCUGAGGUUCGAAAGCGUGGGUAGCAAACAGGAUUAGAUACCCCAGUAGUC